AUUGAACGCUGGCGGCAUGCCUAACACAUGCAAGUCGAACGGGGCAGCAAUGCCUAGUGGCGGACGGGUGAGGAAUACGUAGGAAUCUGCCCUUAAGUGGGGGAUAACCAGGGGAAACCCUGACUAAUACCGCAUGAUCUCUUCGGAGCAAAGAGGGGGACCGCAAGGCCUCUCGCUUCUGGAUGAGCCUACGUCUGAUUAGCUAGUUGGUAGGGUAAAGGCCUACCAAGGCGACGAUCAGUAACUGGUCUGAGAGGAUGAUCAGUCACACCGGAACUGAGACACGGUCCGGACUCCUACGGGAGGCAGCAGUGGGGAAUUUUGGACAAUGGACGCAAGUCUGAUCCAGCCAUGCCGCGUGCGGGAAGAAGGCCUUCGGGUUGUAAACCGCUUUUGUCAGGGAAGAAACGCUCUGGGUUAGUACCUCGGGGUAAUGACGGUACCUGAAGAAUAAGCACCGGCUAACUACGUGCCAGCCGCCGCCGUAAUAC
rnacentral:rRNA from 1 species